GCACUUAGGAUCAAUAUUUUCAUUCCAGUAGUUUAGCUCAAUCCUCAAAAGAUGAACACGUAACCGAAAGCGGGCAACACUGUGUAAAAUAUGUGUGGGUAGAUCCAAAUGAAAAUAUUUGGGCAAACGAUAUGGGGAGAAGGUAGCAUGAGCGUCACGUUGUGGAAGGGCACACCAAUGAUAGUAGGUGAACGUUUUACUGUUCGUCUCAGGUUCCCGAGGCUGACGAGCUGUAAAAAAGGGUUGCUGCCAAAAUGCCAAAUGACGCUUCCGAAGAUCUAUAACAAGUUGACUCAGAUUCAGAGGACUGCCAUUGAGGAUAUGAUGGUGAUAAGACGGAGCAUGCUUGAGCCCUUGUGUGCCAAGCAAGAAGUGAGAAAUCCAGC
rnacentral:lncRNA from 1 species